rnacentral:rRNA from 1 species
CAGCCGCCGCGGUAAUACGUAGGGGGCAAGCGUUAUCCGGAAUAACUGGGCGUAAAGGGUGCGCAGGUGGUUUAACAAGUUAGUGGUGAAAGGCAUAGGCUCAACCAAUGUAAGCCAUUAAAACUGUUUAACUUGAGUGCAGGAGAGGAAAGUGGAAUUCCUAGUGUAGCGGUGAAAUGCGUAGAUAUUAGGAGGAAUACCAGUGGCGAAGGCGACUUUCUGGACUGCAACUGACACUGAGGCACGAAAGCGUGGGGAGCAAACAGGAUUAGAUACCCCCGUAGUCCCUGUCUCUUAUACA